UUUAAAGUGUAAUGUAAGUCGCUUUGGAUAAAAGCGUCUGCUAAACGACCUGUA
rfam:Gasterosteus aculeatus cont1.005515, whole genome shotgun sequence.